UACGGGGGGGGCAAGCGUUGUUCGGAAUUACUGGGCGUAAAGGGCUCGUAGGUGGCCAACUAAGUCAGACGUGAAAUCCCUCGGCUUAACCGGGGAACUGCAUCUGAUACUGGAUGGCUUGAGUUUGGGAGAGGGACGCGGAAUUCCAGGUGUAGCGGUGAAAUGCGUAGAUAUCUGGAGGAACACCGGUGGCGAAGGCGGCAUCCUGGACCGGCAUUGACGCUGAGGCGCGAAAGCCAGGGGAGCAAACGGG
rnacentral:rRNA from 1 species